GGCCAGAAAUACGAUAUUGAAGUAUCAGUUUAAUGAAUACAAUUCAUCAUUUGAUAUUGGGAGAAUGAUGAAUAGACAAAUACCGAGCUACCAAUAAGGUUUUGUGAUAUUAUCAAAUACGAAUCAUGUUUUGUGACGGACAUACAUGAAUUAGGGGAGAACCUUUAAGAACCAAAAUAGGGGGAACAUUUUAGAAUCUUAAAGUGAGGUUAUUUUGGAAGUUUUUGAUAAUUUUGUAAUAAUCUGAAGAAACUAUAAAGACAUAAUUCAAAU
rnacentral:lncRNA from 1 species